rnacentral:rRNA from 1 species
CCUACGGGUGGCAGCAGUGGGGAAUAUUGGACAAUGGGGGCAACCCUGAUCCAGCCAUGCCGCGUGUGUGAAGAAGGCCCUCGGGUUGUAAAGCACUUUCAGUGAGGAAGAACGCCUGGUGGUUAAUACCCAUCAGGAAAGACAUCACUCACAGAAGAAGCACCGGCUAACUCCGUGCCAGCAGCCGCGGUAAUACGGAGGGUGCGAGCGUUAAUCGGAAUUACUGGGCGUAAAGCGCGCGUAGGUGGCUUGAUAAGCCGGUUGUGAAAGCCCCGGGCUCAACCUGGGAACGGCAUCCGGAACUGUCAAGCUAGAGUGCAAGAGAGGAAGGUAGAAUUCCCGGUGUAGCGGUGAAAUGCGUAGAGAUCGGGAGGAAUACCAGUGGCGAAGGCGGCCUUCUGGACUGACACUGACACUGAGGUGCGAAAGCGUGGGUAGCAAACAGGAUUAGAUACCCGUGUAGUC